CAGUGCCUCCCAGUAUGUUCUGCUGCUCCCCAGGUGCCCCAGUUCCUUGUCCCAGUGCUCCCAGUAUGGCCCAGUUACCCAUCUUAGCACACCCAGUAACGCCAGUUUCCUCUCCCAGAGCUCCCAGUAUGCCCAGUUCCCUGUCUGAGUGCUCCCAGUAUGCCCAGUUACCCAUCUCAGCACACCCAGUAACCCCAGUUCCCUCUCCCAGUGCUCCCAGUAUGGCCCAGUUCGCCCCAGUGGGUGCGAUGUGCGCUGAUUUUUCUGCGCCCAGUACAACCCAGUACAUCCCAGUCACUACCCAGUCGGUCCCAGCGCCCUCCCAGUCUGUCCCAGUAUCUCCCAGUAUCCUCCCAGUCCUCCCAGUUCCCCAGUCCUCCAGAGGCCCCUGUGGAGGCCGGAAGUGCCGCUCUGGCCGAACUCGUCUCUCCCCACGGAAAGGAAGUGACGUAGGAGGGAGGGGGCAACAUUGA
rnacentral:lncRNA from 1 species